rnacentral:rRNA from 1 species
GAUGAACGCUGGCGGCGUGCCUAAUACAUGCAAGUCGAGCGAAUGGAUUAAGAGCUUGCUCUUAUGAAGUUAGCGGCGGACGGGUGAGUAACACGUGGGUAACCUGCCCAUAAGACUGGGAUAACUCCGGGAAACCGGGGCUAAUACCGGAUAACAUUUUGAACCGCAUGGUUCGAAAUUGAAAGGCGGCUUCGGCUGUCACUUAUGGAUGGACCCGCGUCGCAUUAGCUAGUUGGUGAGGUAACGGCUCACCAAGGCAACGAUGCGUAGCCGGCGUGAGAGGGUGAUCGGCCACACUGGGACUGAGACACGGCCCAGACUCCUACGGGAGGCAGCAGUAGGGAAUCUUCCGCAAUGGACGAAAGUCUGACGGAGCAACGCCGCGUGUGUGAUGAAGGCUUUCGGGUCGUAAAACUCUGUUGUUAGGGAAGAACAAGUGCUAGUUGAAUAAGCUGGCACCUUGACGGUACCUAACCAGAAAGCCACGGCUAACUACGUGCCAGCAGCCGCAGUAA